rnacentral:tRNA from 1 species
GGUGAGGUAGCCAAGAGGCUUUAAGGCGCUGUCCUGCAAAGACAGUAUGCGUGGGUUCGACUCCCAUCCUCACCUCCA